rnacentral:rRNA from 1 species
GACAGAGGGUGCAAACGUUGCUCGGAAUUACUGGGCGUAAAGCGCGUGUAGGUGGCGAGAUAAGUCGGGUGUGAAAUCCCUUGGCUUAACCAAGGAAGUGCAUUCGAUACUGUUUCGCUUGAGUAUCGGAGGGGUCGGCGGAAUUCCCGGUGUAGAGGUGAAAUUCGUAGAUAUCGGGAGGAACACCUGUGGCGAAGGCGGCCGACUGGACGAUCACUGACACUGAGACGCGAAAGCGUGGGUAGCAAACAGG